rnacentral:rRNA from 1 species
GACGUAGGAGGCGAGCGUUAUCCGGAUUCACUGGGCGUAAAGCGCAUGUAGGCGGGUGCACAAGUCCGUUGUUAAAGCCCCUGGCUCAACUGGGGGAGGUCAAUGGAGACUGUGCGACUUGAGGGCAAUAGAGGCACGUGGAACUCCCGGUGUAGCGGUGGAAUGCGUAGAGAUCGGGAAGAACACCAGUGGCGAAGGCGACGUGCUGGGUUGCACCUGACGCUGAGAUGCGAAAGUGUGGGGAGCAAACGGG